CAGCCGCCACGGUAACACGUAGGGUGCGAGCGUUAAUCGGAAUUACUGGGCGUAAAGCGUGCGCAGGCGGUUAUGUAAGACAGUUGUGAAAUCCCCGGGCUCAACCUGGGAACUGCAUCUGUGACUGCAUAGCUAGAGUACGGUAGAGGGGGAUGGAAUUCCGCGUGUAGCAGUGAAAUGCGUAGAUAUGCGGAGGAACACCGAUGGCGAAGGCAAUCCCCUGGACCUGUACUGACGCUCAUGCACGAAAGCGUGGGGAGCAAACAGGAUUAGAGACCCGAGUAGUCCCUGUCUCUUAUAC
rnacentral:rRNA from 1 species